UGGCGGCGUGCUUAAUACAUGCAAGUCGAACGCUCUUGACCUUCGGGUCACUAAGAGAGUGGCGAACGGGUGCGUAACACGUGAGAAACCUACCCCGAAGACGGGAAUAGCCCGAGGAAACUCGGAUUAAUACCCGAUAUCUCCACACUGUCGCAUGGCAGAGUGAAGAAAGUUCAGGCGCUUCGGGAGGGUCUCGCGGCCUAUCAGCUUGUUGGUGAGGUAACGGCUCACCAAGGCAUCGACGGGUAGCUGGUCUGAGAGGAUGAUCAGCCACACUGGGACUGAGACACGGCCCAGACUCCUACGGGAGGCAGCAGUAGGGAAUCUUGCGCAAUGGGCGAAAGCCUGACGCAGCAACGCCGCGUGGGGGAUGAAUGCCUUCGGGUUGUAAACCCCUUUCAGCAGGGACGAAAUUGACGGUACCUGCAGAAGAAGGUCCGGCCAACUACGUGCCAGCAGCCGCGGUAAUACGUAGGGACCAAGCGUUGUCCGGAAUUAUUGGGCGUAAAGAGCUCGUAGGCGGUUCAGUAAGUCGGGUGUGAAAACUCAAGGCUCAACCUUGAGACGCCACUCGAUACUGCUGUGACUUGAGUCCGGUAGAGGAGUGUGGAAUUCCUGGUGUAGCGGUGAAAUGCGCAGAUAUCAGGAGGAACACCAGCGGCGAAGGCGGCACUCUGGGCCGGUACUGACGCUGAGGAGCGAAAGCAUGGGGAGCAAACAGGAUUAGAUACCCUGGUAGUCCAUGCCGUAAACGUUGGGCACUAGGUAUGGGACCAUAUCAACGGGUUCCGUGCCGUAGCUAACGCAUUAAGUGCCCCGCCUGGGGAGUACGGCCG
rnacentral:rRNA from 1 species